rnacentral:rRNA from 1 species
UACGAUGGGGGCUAGCGCUGUUCGGAAUUACUGGGCGUAAAGCGCACGUAGGCGGAUGUGCCAGUCAGGGGUGAAAUCCCGAGGCUCAAGCUCGGAACUGCCUCCGAUACAGCACGUCUCGCGUCCGGAAGAGGUGAGUGGAAUUCCUAGUGUAGAGGUGAAAUUCGUAGAUAUUAGGAAGAACACCAGUGGCGAAGGCGGCUCACUGGUCCGGUACUGACGCUGAGGUGCGAAAGCGUGGGGAGCAAACAGG